AUACGGAGGGUGCAAGCGUUACUCGGAAUCACUGGGCGUAUAGCGCGCGCAGGCGGCUAUUUAAGUUGGAUGUGAAAGCCUACGGCUCAACCGUAGAACUGCAUCCAAAACUAUUUAGCUAGAGUGUGGGAGAGGAAGAUGGAAUUAGUUGUGUAGGGGUAAAAUCCGUAGAGAUAACUAGGAAUACCAAAAGCGAAGGCAAUCUUCUGGAACACUACUGACGCUGAGGCGCGAAAGCGUGGGGUGCAAACAGGAUUAGAAACCCUAGUAGUCC
rnacentral:rRNA from 1 species